GGGAGUCAUCCAUGUCUUCAUUUAUAUUCCCUCUCUUUUCUCUCUAGAACACCUUUCUCUCGUUCUGGUACGGUUUUUUUUUUCUCUCUCUCUUCCUUUUCCUUCUUUAUUUAUUUGCUGAAAUUCGUUUCUUGAUUUAUAGUUUUUCUGAUUUCAAUUAUUUGUAGGGCUUCUCGCGUCUCGUUUCAUUGUCGAAGAAUCAUUCAACAUCUAUGACUCAUAUCCUUUUUCCUAUUACCAAUUCUCGUCGAUUUAGGGUUUAGGUUAACUUUCUGUUUAUUUUCCCUUGAAAUUCGGAGAAAAUAAAACAGCGAAAUUUCUCAUUUUUUAUAUAAUCUUGUUAGAUCUUAUGAGUUCCAUUUAGUUAGGAUCCAAAACAAAAGAGGAAUUUUGAUUUCAGAACACUGCCUUAAUAUUAUUGUUUCUCCAUUGAUCUUACCUGAAUAAUAAUUAUGAAGAAUUUUAAUUUAUUUUUAUUUCUUGAAAUUUGGUAUUGUUUGGAUUUAACUUUGAAGCGAACGCGGUAACCAGAGGGAAAAAGAUCGGGAAAGGGCUCAAGCCAGAGGUGCUAAAUCUAAGCAAAAGGAGGAUGGGUUGACCCCUGAACAGCGCAGGGAAAGGUUCUAUUAUUGUGCUUUCUUUUAAUUUUGAGAAUUAUUUCAAAUGAAUAAUCAAAUCCAUAUAUAAUGAGAAUGUUGAGAAUGUUGCGGUGGAUUAUUGGGCACAUCUGAUUAGAGAUGAAUGCAUUAGGGAGAAAGUCGGAAUAAUUCUUGUUGUAGGAAAGAUGGCCUUAGGUGGUUUAGAAAUAUGUAAAUGAGACUCUUAGAAGCCCCCCUUAAGAAGAGUAGAUGGUUAGAGUCCAAUUUCUAGAAGAAUAUGGAGGCCUAGAAAGAAAACCAUAUGUCAAACAAUUAAGAUUUAAAGAUGAACUUUUUGUCAAUGAACAUGAUUUAUGAUAGAACAUUAUGACAUCGUUCGAUUUGUUGUAUCUGUGUGUGUUUUUUUCCUGAAAUAUUGAUCUUUUGAUUGGCAGAGACGCAAAGGCGCUGCAGGAGAAGACAGCGAAGAAAGCUGCUCAGGCUGCAGGAGGGAGUAAUGCAGGUGGCAGUGGAAGCAAAAAAUAAGCAAUGAAUUGAUUUAUGGUGUUGAUGAUGGACAUGGAAAUGUUUGUGUUGCAUAUUUUGAUCAAGGUUAUUUUAGUUAUGAAUUCAUAUACGUUGUUCAGAAAUGUCACUUGAAAUAAACAUGCUGUGUUUCGUGGAAAUGUGUUGAUUUUGGCUGCUGAAUCAUUUACUUCUAUGUUUAUUUGAAACACACAAGUAUUUCGUGACGAUCUUGUGCUCUUCCAUAUCUUAUUGUCUCUGAAUAUAAUGCAGAAUAAGCAUCCAUUAAGUCCCUGAAAGUGUAGGUUGCAUCAAUCUGGUGAUCAAAUAGUGUUUACAUUAAUGCAGUCCCUCUAUCAUGGUUAUUGAUAUAAAACUUUUGUGUGUCUGUUAUAGACCAUGGAGAACAUGUUGUACAAGUUUUUAUUGAGGGACUAAAUUGAUGUUUUCUAUGACUAAUACUAAAUUGAUGUUAUUUUCUAUGACUAAUACUAAAUUGAUGUUAUUUUCUAUGAUUGAGA
rnacentral:lncRNA from 1 species